UCCUUGGGUCUCACUCCCCCUCGGUGCUCUUCUUGCUGGCUCACACUUGCUGUUGGGCUUUGUGCACUCUUCAAAGCCUAUCAGCGCUGUGUUUUCUGCGUUUUUGGGGUCUAAUCAGGACAAGCUUACCAGGCCUGGGCUUUAUCUCGCUUGCAGUGGUUAAAAACAGCUCCACGCUGAUUUAGAAACAUCAGGAGGCAGGAGCUGUUCCUCCCCGGGCACCCUGGAGAGAGCACAGCCAGAGUUUCCCCAAAGCACGUGGGAACACCGCUUCCACCACAAGUUUUUUUGGGGCUGCUUUUACUGCCCAUAUAUAACAGACCUGCCAAUGUCUCUGCUUCUCUGGAGCUGUCAAAUAUCACGCUUCCCACCCAGCUGCACCAUAUUUGUGGAGCUAGGUUUGUAUUUGUGCUUUUUUGGAGUGUUUCUUGUUUGGCUCCUGUUUGAUUUCUGUUUUUUCUUUGUGCUCAAGUGCCCCUUUGGGCCCCAGGGACCAUGUCCCAGGGGGGCUGGAGGGCAGCACCUGCCCUCCUGCCACUUGCUGGGGGUCCUCUUUGCCCUGUCUCUACCCAGCCACAAGUCUGCUGGCUUUCACGUGGCUUUUUGCUCCUCCAGAUGUGCCAGCCUGCGGUGAAAAAUGGUGAAAUCCUCCGUGAACCCCAGCAGCACAUCCAGGAGGGGGACAGAGAGGAGGAAAACCUGCAGGCAUCGGAGACAAACCCAAGCAGAAUUUGGGAAAGGCAAUAUUUAAUAGCUCAGCAAUCACGCUCUCCUUUCCAAGAUUUGCCUUUGGAGAACUUUAUUUUUCUCUCCGAGUGUCUGUGCUGGCUCAGAAGUGACUCAGGACUUGAUCGAUACCUCUGGUGGCUGCUGCCGCGGCCACUGAUGGGAAGCUGGGGAGAAUUAUUCAGGUGA
rnacentral:lncRNA from 1 species